GCAUGCUUAAAUUGUUUCUAUUGCUAGUCUUCGCAUAUGGUAGCUUUUCGAAAGGAAUAACAAAUUUCGCGGUAAUUUCUUAGGGGUAAAAUUCCGACUGUAGUUGUAUUUAUGGCGUCCGAAACGUCUGACAUUCCAAAAUCUGUUGUUCUAAAAUCAACAAAAGAAGACUGCCUUUCGUGCCGGCUGAUUGGUGGCACUUCACUUCUCCUUGCAAGUGGAUAUGUAUUAUAUCGUGGUAAACAAGCAAAACUGAGAAGUACAAGAGUAGUGUCAUUGGUAUUUGCAUCGAGUUUAGGAUACACAGGCAUUGCGAGAUUACUGGGCAUAUAUCCUUUCAACAUAAAAUCAAACACUGAAGCAUAAAAAAAUGUAAAAUUUAAAUAUAUGUGUAUAUACGUGUAAAUUACGCUAGUUAAAUAAAAUCUGUACUAUUUUACGAGUUAA